CCUACGGGGGGCUGCAGUGGGGAAUAUUGGACAAUGGGCGAAAGCCUGAUCCAGCCAUGCCGCGUGUGUGAAGAAGGCCUUCGGGUUGUAAAGCACUUUCAGUGGGGAAGAAAGCCUUGGGGCUAAUACCCUCGAGGAAGGACAUCACCCACAGAAGAAGCACCGGCUAACUCCGUGCCAGCAGCCGCGGUAAUACGGAGGGUGCGAGCGUUAAGCGGAAUUACUGGGCGUAAAGCGCGCGUAGGCGGUCUGAUAAGCCGGUUGUGAAAGCCCUGGGCUCAACCUGGGAACGGCAUCCGGAACUGUCAGGCUAGAGUGCAGGAGAGGAAGGUAGAAUUCCCGGUGUAGCGGUGAAAUGCGUAGAGAUCGGGAGGAAUACCAGUGGCGAAGGCGGCCUUCUGGACUGACACUGACGCUGAGGUGCGAAAGCGUGGGUAGCAAACAGGAUUAGAUACCCCUGUAGUC
rnacentral:rRNA from 1 species